CAACCCUCAAGCAUUGCUUGGUAUUGGACUUCGCUGCUCACGUAGCGGGCCUUAAAAUCAGUGGCGGUGCCGUCGGGCUCCUGAGCGCAGUAAAUAUCCUCGCUACAGGGACUCGGUGGACGCUAGCCAUCAACCCCCCACUCUCUCA
rnacentral:misc_RNA from 1 species